UACGAAGGGGGCUAGCGUUGCUCGGAUUUACUGGGCGUAAAGGGCGCGUAGGCGGCGCGGUAAGUCACUUGUGAAAUCUCUGAGCUUAACUCAGAACGGCCAAGUGAUACUGCAGUGCUAGAGUGUGGAAGGGGCAAUCGGAAUUCUUGGUGUAGCGGUGAAAUGCGUAGAUAUCAAGAGGAACACCUGAGGUGAAGACGGGUUGCUGGGCCAACACUGACGCUGAGGCGCGAAAGCCAGGGGAGCAAACGGG
rnacentral:rRNA from 1 species